GUGAGGAAUAUUGGUCAAUGGGCGCAAGCCUGAACCAGCCAUGCCGCGUGCAGGAAGACGGUCCUAUGGAUUGUAAACUGCUUUUAUUUGGGAAUAAACUCCGGUACGUGUACCGGCCUGAAGGUACCAAAUGAAUAAGCACCGGCUAACUCCGUGCCAGCAGCCGCGGUAAUACGGAGGGUGCAAGCGUUAUCCGGAAUCAUUGGGUUUAAAGGGUCCGCAGGCGGUCUUAUAAGUCAGUGGUGAAAGCCUACAGCUCAACUGUAGAACUGCCAUUGAUACUGUAGGACUUGAAUUCGAUCGAAGUGGGCGGAAUGUGACAUGUAGCGGUGAAAUGCUUAGAUAUGUCACAGAACACCGAUAGCGAAGGCAGCUCACUAGGUCUGGAUUGACGCUCAGGGACGAAAGCGUGGGGAGCAAACAGGAUUAGAUACUCUUGUAGUCC
rnacentral:rRNA from 1 species